AUCUUUGCGCUUGGGGCAAUGACGCAGCUAAUGAGGUUCUAACCGAGGCGCGUCUAUUGCUGGUUGAAAACUAUUUCCAAACCCCCUCUUCGGCCUGGGCUUGACCCUGGCCGUUGAGAAUUUCUGGAAGGGCUCCCUUCGGGGUAAAGCC
rnacentral:snRNA from 1 species